UACGGGGGGAGCAAGCGUUGUUCGGAAUCACUGGGCGUAAAGGGAGUCUAGGCGGUUUGGUAAGUGGGAUGUGAAAUCCCCGGGCUCACCCCGGGACCUGCAUCCCAAACUGCUGAGCUUGAGUACAGGAGAGGGUGGGGGAAUUCCCGGUGUAGCAGUGAAAUGCGUAGAUAUCGGGAGGAAUACCGAUGGCGAAGGCAGGUCUCUGGGCUGACACUGACGCUCAUGCACGAAAGCGUGGGGAGCAAACAGG
rnacentral:rRNA from 1 species